rnacentral:rRNA from 1 species
UGGGGAAUAUUGCACAAUGGGCGCAAGCCUGAUGCAGCCAUGCCGCGGGUAUGAAGAAGGCCUUCGGGUUGUAAAGUACUUUCAGUCGGGAGGAAGGUGGUAAGGGUAAUAACCUUAUCAAUGGACGUUACCGACAGAAGAAGCACCGGCUAACUCCGUGCCAGCAGCCGCGGUAAUACGGAGGGUGCAAGCGUUAAUCGGAAUUACUGGGCGUAAAGCGCACGCAGGCGGUUGAUUGAGUCAGAUGUGAAAUCCCCGGGCUUAACCCGGGAAUUGCAUCUGAUACUGGUCAGCUAGAGUCUUGUAGAGGGGGGUAGAAUUCCAUGUGUAGCGGUGAAAUGCGUAGAGAUGUGGAGGAAUACCGGUGGCGAAGGCGGCCCCCUGGACAAAGACUGACGCUCAGGUGCGAAAGCGUGGGGAGCAAACAGG